rnacentral:rRNA from 1 species
UACGUAGGGUGCGAGCGUUGUCCGGAAUUAUUGGGCGUAAAGGGCUCGUAGGCGGUCUGUUGCGUCGGGAGUGAAAACUCAGGGCUUAACCCUGAGCCUGCUUCCGAUACGGGCAGACUAGAGGUAUGCAGGGGGAGAACGGAAUUCCUGGUGUAGCGGUGAAAUGCGGCAGAAUAUCAGGAGGAACACCGGUGGCGAAAGGGCGGUUCUCUGGG